rnacentral:rRNA from 1 species
GGAAUCUUCCGCAAUGGACGAAAGUCUGACGGAGCNACGCCGCGUGAGUGAUGAAGGCUUUCGGGUCGUAAAACUCUGUUGUUAGGGAAGAACAAGUACGAGAGUAACUGCUCGUACCUUGACGGUACCUAACCAGAAAGCCACGGCUAACUACGUGCCAGCAGCCGCGGUAAUACGUAGGUGGCAAGCGUUAUCCGGAAUUAUUGGGCGUAAAGCGCGCGCAGGCGGUUUCUUAAGUCUNAUGUGAAAGCCCACGGCUCAACCGUGGAGGGUCAUUGGAAACUGGGGAACUUGAGUGCAGAAGAGAAAAGCGGAAUUCCACGUGUAGCGGUGAAAUGCGUAGAGAUGUGGAGGAACACCAGUGGCGAAGGCGGCUUUUUGGUCUGUAACUGACGCUGAGGCGCGAAAGCGUGGGGAGCAAACAGGAUUAGAUACCCUGGUAGUCCACGCCGUAAACGAUGAGUGCUAAGUGUUAGGGGGUUUCCGCCCUUUAGUGCUGCAGCUAACGCAUUAAGCACUCCGCCUGGGGAGUAC